CUACGGGGUGCAGCAGUGGGGAAUAUUGCACAAUGGAGGAAACUCUGAUGCAGCAACGCCGCGUGGAGGAUGACACUUUUCGGAGCGUAAACUCCUUUUAUAUAGGAAGAAGAUGACGGUACUAUAUGAAUAAACGCCGGCUAACUCCGUGCCAGCAGCCGCGGUAAUACGGAGGGCGCAAGCGUUACUCGGAAUCACUGGGCGUAAAGAGCGUGUAGGCGGAUUAAAAAGUCAGAAGUGAAAUCCUAUAGCUUAACUAUAGAACUGCUUCUGAAACUCUUAAUCUAGAAUAUGGGAGAGGUAGAUGGAAUUUCUGGUGUAGGGGUAAAAUUCGUAGAGAUCAGAAGGAAUACCGAUUGCGAAGGCGAUCUACUAGAACAUUAUUGACGCUGAGACGCGAAAGCGUGGGGAGCAAACAGGAUUAGAUACCCCGGUAGUC
rnacentral:rRNA from 1 species